UACGAAGGGGGCUAGCGUUGCUCGGAAUCACUGGGCGUAAAGGGUGCGUAGGCGGGUCUUUAAGUCAGGGGUGAAAUCCUGGAGCUCAACUCCAGAACUGCCUUUGAUACUGAAGACCUUGAGUCCGGGAGAGGUGAGUGGAACUGCGAGUGUAGAGGUGAAAUUCGUAGAUAUUCGCAAGAACACCAGUGGCGAAGGCGGCUCACUGGCCCGGUACUGACGCUGAGGUGCGAAAGCGUGGGGAGCAAACAGG
rnacentral:rRNA from 1 species